rnacentral:lncRNA from 1 species
AGGGUGUUAAUGUUUAAACACACGAGGUCGUGUUGUACUUCUGCAACUAACCUGCUGGUUCCUACUCAGCUCGUUCCUGGUAAGUGGUUCCCACUGGCUCCACCGCGCUGUUUCAUGGUCAUGAUGAGCGCGGGACUGGUUUCCCUCCUGACAGACACUGCAGCUGCUGUCACACAGAUGCCACCGGGAAGAGAGGAUGUUCUCCCCGAACAGAGCAAGACCCUGCGAAGACAGGCACGUAGACGCAGCAAACCUUCUUCUGAUUUAUCAAGUACACGAUACAAUGUUGCCAUUUAUGAACAAUGUUGCCAUUUACGAAGCUACUCCUCUGCACGUGCCUGGGAUCCAGCCUUUGAGUAGUGACCUCUGCAUAUCCAGGGAUCUCUCACUGUGCUCUAACACUUUACUCCAGGGUAAGGCCCUGGACACAUGAAAGCCAGAGAGUACAUUGGUUUUUUUUAACCUUCUGUUAUAAAAAGAAAAAUAAAAUUUCU